rnacentral:rRNA from 1 species
AGUGAACGCUGGCGGCGUGCCUAAUACAUGCAAGUCGAACGCAGUGGGGACGGGUGCGUAACACGUUGGUAACCUCCCAUCAGAGGGGAUAACACUUUGAAACAGGUGCUAAACCGAUACUGAUGGAUGUACCCGCGUGGCAUUAGCUAGUUGGUGAGGUAACGGCUCACCAAGGCCACGAUGCAUAGCCGACCUGAGAGGGUGAUCAGCCACACUGGGACUGAGACACGGACCAGACUCCUACGGGAGGCAGCAGUAGGGAAGCUUCGGCAAUGGACGAAAGUCUGACCGAGCAACGGCGCGUGAGUGAAGAAGGUUUUCGGAUCGUAAAACUCUGUUGUUAGAGAAGCGGUAUCUAACAAGAAAGCCACGGCUAACUACGUGCCAGCAGCCGCGGUAAUUC